rnacentral:rRNA from 1 species
CCGGUCCCAUUCCGAACCCGGAAGCUAAGCCCACCUGCGCCGAUGGUACUGCCCGGGAAGCUGGGUGGGAGAGUAGGUCACCGCCGGAC